AUUGAACGCUGGCGGCAUGCCUUACACAUGCAAGUCGAACGGCAGCACGGGUGCUUGCACCUGGUGGCGAGUGGCGAACGGGUGAGUAAUACCUCGGAACGUACCUUAUCGUGGGGGAUAACGCAGCGAAAGCUGUGCUAAUACCGCAUACGCCCUGAGGGGGAAAGCGGGGGAUCGCAAGACCUCGCGCGAUUAGAGCGGCCGAUGCCUGAUUAGCUUGUUGGUGGGGUAAAAGCCCACCAAGGCGACGAUCAGUAGCUGGUCUGAGAGGACGAUCAGCCACACUGGGACUGAGACACGGCCCAGACUCCUACGGGAGGCAGCAGUGGGGAAUUUUGGACAAGGGGGGCAACCCUGAUCCAGCAAUGCCGCGUGAGUGAAGAAGGCCUUCGGGUUGUAAAGCUCUUUUGUCAGGGAAGAAACACCGGCUCUAACACAGUCCGGGAAUGACGGUACCUGAAGAAUAAGCACCGGCUAACUACGUGCCAGCCGCCGCCGUAACAC
rnacentral:rRNA from 1 species